AGCGAACGCUGGCGGCAGGCUUAACACAUGCAAGUCGAGCGGGCCUUUCGGGGUCAGCGGCGGACGGGUGAGUAACGCGUGGGAACGUGCCCUCUGGUUCGGAAUAACUCAGGGAAACUUGAGCUAAUACCGGAUACGCCCUUUUGGGGAAAGGCUUGCUGCCGGAGGAUCGGCCCGCGUCUGAUUAGCUAGUUGGUGAGGUAACGGCUCACCAAGGCGACGAUCAGUAGCUGGUCUGAGAGGAUGAUCAGCCACACUGGGACUGAGACACGGCUCAGACUCCUACGGGAGGCAGCAGUGGGGAAUAUUGGACAAUGGGCGCAAGCCUGAUCCAGCCAUGCCGCGUGAGUGAUGAAGGCCUUAGGGUUGUAAAGCUCUUUUAUCCGGGACGAUAAUGACGGUACCGGAGGAAUAAGCCCCGGCUAACUUCGUG
rnacentral:rRNA from 1 species